rnacentral:snoRNA from 1 species
AUUGAUGAUGUUCAUCCAGUUCUGCUACUGAAUCAGUGUGAAGAUAUUCUUUCCCCGACUGAGAU